CCUAUUGUGUUUAAUCAUAUAAUUAAGCAGAGGAAAAGAAACUUACAAGGAUUCCCCUAGUAAUGGCGAGUGAACCGGGAAGAGCCCAGCAUGAAAAUUAGGUGGCAGCACCACUUGAAUUGUAGUCUGUAUAAGCGUCCUUAGCGGUGGACCGGGCCCAAGUCCCCUGGAAGGGGGCGCCUGAGAGGGUGACAGCCCUGUUGGGACGGGACCCUGCCACACCACGAGGCGUUGUCGAUGAGUUGGGUUGUUUGGGAAUGCAUCCCUAAUCGAGUGGUAAAUUUUGUCCAAGGCUAAAUAUGGGUAAGAGACUGAUAGCGAACAAGUACCGCGAGGGAAAGAUGAAAAGGAAUUUGAAAAUAGAGUUAAAGAGUGCUUGAAAUUGCCAGGAGGUAAGCAGAUGGAGGCCGACAAUGCAUCUUGGUCGAAUGCAGAACGACUCAAGCUAGUUCACCACUCGACUCGAGGUGCGAACCAGCACAGGCCGUUGCAUCGGUACAAGCGCGGGUGGAGUACUUCCUGUUGGUUUUCUAUUGUGGCGGUCGAGGAGCAGAGAAAUCAAGGGAUUCCACCAACACUCAUUUAAAUUUAUUUUUAAUCACUUGCCAAUACUUCUUUUAGUUUGUUGAUAUUGAACUCGCACAUGAGGUAGUUUAUAUAUAUGAGGAUUUAGGAUCAAUUUUUCAAGCUUGAAUUUG
rnacentral:ncRNA from 1 species